CAGCGGGUGCAAGUCCCGCCCGGCCAACUGAAUCGCUCCGGCCGGAAGCUAUCGGAGCGGCGGUGGAGGUAACGAAGCCGUCGGAGCCUUCGAGACAAAUGUGCCGCCUGGCGGCGCAGCGAGUCGACAGGCCGUAACGCGA
rfam:Singulisphaera acidiphila DSM 18658, complete genome.